GACGAACGCUGGCGGCAUGCCUAACACAUGCAAGUCGAACGGAACUUGUUAAAUGAAGUUUUCGGAUGGAUUUUGAUAAGUUUAGUGGCGGACGGGUGAGUAACGCGUGAGCAACCUGCCUUUCAGAGGGGGACAACAGUUGGAAACGACUGCUAAUACCGCAUAAUGUAUCGGAACCGCAUGGCUCUGAUACCAAAGAUUUAUCGCUGAAAGAUGGGCUCGCGUACGAUUAGAUAGUUGGUGAGGUAACGGCUCACCAAGUCGACGAUCGUUAGCCGGACUGAGAGGUUGAACGGCCACAUUGGGACUGAGACACGGCCCAGACUCCUACGGGAGGCAGCAGUGAGGAAUAUUGGGCAAUGGGCGCAAGCCUGACCCAGCAAUGCCGCGUGAAGGAAGACGGUUUUCGGAUUGUAAACUUCUUUUAAGAGGGACGAUAAUGACGGUACCUCUUGAAUAAGCCACGGCUAACUACGUG
rnacentral:rRNA from 1 species